UACGGGGGGAGCAAGCGUUGUUCGGAUUUACUGGGCGUAAAGGGCGCGUAGGCGGCAUGCCAAGCGUGUGGUGAAAGCCCGGGGCUCAACCCCGGGUCGGCCGUGCGGACUGGCGUGCUUGAGCACUGUAGGGGCGGGUGGAAUUCCGGGUGUAGCGGUGGAAUGCGUAGAGAUCCGGAAGAACACCAGUGGCGAAGGCGGCUCACUGGUCCGGUACUGACGCUGAGGUGCGAAAGCGUGGGGAGCAAACAGG
rnacentral:rRNA from 1 species